ACUGAGGCGAAUGUGCUAUCCAACAGGUCCACAGCAAGUGUAUCACUGGCUUUGUUCAAAGUGUUCCUGGAUGCUGCAAAUGAAAGAGGAUGAUAACUCUCCACCUCUUGCCCAUCCUUUGGGAAAGACUUCAGCAUGAUGGUGAAGUGAGGACUCAGACUAAGCAUCAGCCAUUGCUUAAACCCAGCGCUGUAAUGAACCACUGCAAGAGAAUUUUAUAAAUAUAAAUGCGCACUGAUGACAAUCGAACUGAUAACCCUUUAUAGUUCAUGCUACCAUUUCAUGCACACUUUUUCAAGUAUACUGUGAUGACUUAAACUAAAGUAAAUGUCCAUCUGGCUUAAAGAAUUUUAAGACAUUCUAAUGAUGUCAGAAUAUCUAGCUGAACAGUAUGAAAUCUGGGGCAAUGGACAUCUCCAUUCUGUCUUGGAAAAUGAACACCACGGUCCCUUGGCAUUCAUGGAGAAUUGGUUCCAGGACCCAUGAAGAUACUGAAAUCUGCAGAUGCUCAAGUUCUUUAGUUGGCUCUUAUUAUUCACCAAUUUUGAUUCAGAACCUGCAGAUACAGGGGGCCAACUGUAUCCCGAAGAAGGCUUGUAUGGGAAAGACAAAGCCCCUAUAUUUUAUAAUUCCAUUCAAGUUUCACACCUACGAAAAUAAUAAUGGACAAUGAGUUUAAUGUCCUUGAAAUACCUGCUAAAUUGUAAUCUUCUACUGGUGAAUUGGUAUCUCUCUUUAAAUCUUAAUGAUGUCCGGUUGUAUUAGGCUGUUCUUGCAUUAUUAUAAAGAAAUACCUGAGACUGGGUAAUUUAUAAAGAAAAGAGAUUUCAUUGGCUCACAGUUCUGCAGGCUUGAAAGGAAGCAGUGCUGGCAUUAGUUCAGCUUCUGGCAAAGCCUCAGGGAGCUUGCAAUCAAAGUGGAAGGUGAAGCCAUAGCAGGUACUUUACAUGGCAAAAGGAGGAACAAGUGAGAGAGUGUGUAGGGGGAGAUGCCACACACUUUCAAAUGACCAGAUUGUCAGAACUCACUAUCUUCAAGAUCCAGAGUUCUGGAUCACAAAGACACCACCAAGCCAUGAGGGAUCUGCGCCCAUGAUCCAAACAUCUCCCACGAGGCCUCACCUCCAGCACUGAGGAUUAUAAUUCAACAUGAGAUAUAAAGGGGACAAAUACCCAAACAAUAUCGCUGGGAGUGAGAUCAUGAUGCUGGGGUCUACAAGGAGAAUGCAAGAUAUAGGAAAACUCCCUAUCAAAUAGGACGAAUAAGUAAAAUAAAAGCCCAAUCUUGCCAGCAUGAGGCAUAGCAGGAAGAAAAGAAGCAAAGGUAGAGAGUGCAAGUGCAUCUAGAUAUGCAGACAACUCUCCUCCUCUGCCCCCUUCCUGUCAUGGAGUCACAUCCCAAGAGGGGAUGAUAACUUAAAACUUACAGUCAUAGGGGACCUCAGGAACACUGGGACAAGUGCCAGCAUGCUAUUUGAGACUCCAGGUCUCUAGGACAUCGUCAGCCUUUGGAACCAAGCCAAUUCCCCAUGAUGCAGGAUCAGUAGCACAGAGGCAGCCCUGGGAAGAGGCCAGAUGGGUGAACCAGAGGCUGAAGUGAGACUGGUUAAAGCAGAGGUGACUGAUAUCUUGUUAACUGGCAACUCGAAGUAUUCAGGAGAGAAGGGGCUCAUAAAGGAGGCUCAGAUCAAUUACAGAAUACAAAGACACACAUUGUCCCAGCAUGCUAGUAUGGUUUGAGUACAUUUGUGACCCCACUACUAAUCUACAGGGAGUGGCACAUGGGGAAACCCAUGUCGGAAGAGAUGGGAGAAAUCAACCUGUCACUGCAACUCCUACCCUGCACCAGGAGAUCUGAGUCCUGAGAAUUCUCCCAACCUGUCUGUGUGACUCUCUCACACUGUAAUAUUCUACCCUGUAACUCCAUGCUUAGGUCUUUCUCCCAUAUCAGCAUGAAUCCAAUAAAUUGUAACAAUGCCCUG